rnacentral:tRNA from 1 species
GUUCUUUUGGUCAAAAGGUUUACGACGUUUCAUUUUCGCUGAAAAAAUAUGGGUUCAAAUCCCUUAAGGAACA